CGCCUGGUGGUGCAGUCGGCAGCACGCUCUGGUCAAGUGGAUAGUGCGGCGCUCUUGGAUGACGCGCCGCCGCCUGAUCCCACUUUGGUGAGUAGGGACAGGACAUUUCUCCGGAGAGACGCAGGUUCAAAUCCUGCCCAGGCGA